ACAACACCUAGGAGGAUCCUGAGUACGGCGGAACACGAGAAAUUCCGUCGGAAUCCGCGGGGACCAUCCCGCAAGGCUAAAUACUCCCUAGUGACCGAUAGUGAACCAGUACCGUGAGGGAAAGGUGAAAAGCACCCCGGAAGGGGAGUGAAAUAGAUCCUGAAACCGUGUGCCUACAACAAGUCAAAGCUCGUUAAUGAGUGAUGGCGUGCCUUUUGUAGAAUGAACCGGCGAGUUACGAUUGCAUGCGAGGUUAAGUCGAAGAGACGGAGCCGCAGCGAAAGCGAGUCUGAAUAGGGCGAAUGAGUAUGUAGUCGUAGACCCGAAACCAUGUGAUCUACCCAUGUCCAGGUUGAAGGUGCGGUAAAACGCACUGGAGGACCGAACCCACGUACGUUGAAAAGUGCGGGGAUGAGGUGUGGGUAGCGGAGAAAUUCCAAACGAACUUGGAGAUAGCUGGUUCUCUCCGAAAUAGCUUUAGGGCUAGCCUCGGAAUUGAGAAUGAUGGAGGUAGAGCACUGUUUGGACUAGGGGCCCAUCUCGGGUUACCGAAUUCAGAUAAACUCCGAAUGCCAUUCAUUUAUAUCCGGGAGUCAGACUGCGAGUGAUAAGAUCCGUAGUCGAAAGGGAAACAGCCCAGACCACCAGCUAAGGUCCCAAAAUAUAUGUUAAGUGGAAAAGGAUGUGGGGUUGCACAGACAACUAGGAUGUUGGCUUAGAAGCAGCCACCAUUUAAAGAGUGCGUAAUAGCUCACUAGUCGAGUGACCCUGCGCCGAAAAUGUACCGGGGCUAAACAUAUUACCGAAGCUGUGGACUACACCAUUAGGU
rnacentral:rRNA from 1 species